rnacentral:tRNA from 1 species
GGCCUCAUAGUUUAACAGGAUAGAACGUGGGAUUCCGGUUCCCAUGGUGGGGGUUCGAGUCCUCCUGGGGUCACAA